AUUGAACGCUGGCGGCAGGCUUAACACAUGCAAGUCGAGCGGUAACAGAGAGAAGCUUGCUUCUCUGCUGACGAGCGGCGGACGGGUGAGUAAUGCCUAGGAAUCUGCCUAGUAGUGGGGGAUAACUUGCCGAAAGGUAAGCUAAUACCGCAUACGUCCUACGGGAGAAAGGAGGGGACCUUCGGGCCUUUCGCUAGUAGAUGAGCCUAGGUCGGAUUAGUUAGUGGUGAGGUAAUGGCUCACCAAGACAGCGAUCCGUAACUGGUCUGAGAGGAUGAUCAGUCACACUGGAACUGAGACACGGUCCAGACUCCUACGGGAGGCAGCAGUGGGGAAUAUUGGACAAUGGGGGGAACCCUGAUCCAGCCAUGCCGCGUGUGUGAAGAAGGUCUUAGGAUUGUAAAGCACUUUAAGUUGGGAGGAAGAGCAGUUAACUAAUAUUUGACUGUUUUGACGUUACCGACAGAAUAAGCACCGGCUAACUUCGUGCCAGCCGCCGCCGUAA
rnacentral:rRNA from 1 species